rnacentral:rRNA from 1 species
AUUGAACGCUGGCGGCAUGCCUUACACAUGCAAGUCGAACGGCAGCGGGCCUUCGGGUGCCGGCGAGUGGCGAACGGGUGAGUAAUGCAUCGGAACGUGCCAUUGAGUGGGGGGAUAACGUAGCGAAAGUUACGCUAAUACCGCAUAUUCUGUGAGCAGGAAAGAGGGGGAUCGCAAGACCUCUUGCUUUAGGAGCGGCCGAUGUCGGAUUAGCUAGUUGGUGAGGUAAAGGCUCACCAAGGCGACGAUCCGUAGCGGGUCUGAGAGGAUGAUCCGCCACACUGGGACUGAGACACGGCCCAGACUCCUACGGGAGGCAGCAGUGGGGAAUUUUGGACAAUGGGCGCAAGCCUGAUCCAGCCAUGCCGCGUGAGUGAAGAAGGCCUGGGUUGGUUAAAGACGUCUUUCGGUCCGGGAACGGAAAUACGCAUGGUAAUACCUCGUGUGGAUGACGGUACCGGAAGUAAGAAG